rnacentral:lncRNA from 1 species
GCGGAGCUGCACGAGCACAUUUGGGGAUGACUAUAUUGAUUGUGACGUGAAAUGUUAGCCUGGAAAUUUGUUUGAGGAGAUGUGCAUUGACUUGAGACCGUUUGCAGUUCCUCAUGAUACUUCACCGAUGGAGAAGGAAUCGACUGCUGCGCAAACAACACAAAAAUCAAAGAAGAAGAAUGAUAAGAAGACUCAUCCAUCUCAGCCUGCCGGUGCUUCUGCCGAGCCUGGACUGGUGCCGGCAGUUUGGAAGGUUGAGCAAGGGCAGUGUACCGGAGCAGAUGGAACGGAAUCACCUGUCCCGGGGGAAACGACGCCUACCUGUCAAUCAAGUGAUUUGAUUGAUUGUGAAAGCAAGGACAAUUGCAUGUUUAAUACCAGAGUGGAAGAUUGUGAUGGAGGGCUCACAAAGAAGCAGUUUUUAAAAAUGCUGCGUCUUUGUCCGAACGCUACGACCAACUCCGAGGAACAACCGGAAUCGAAGCGACGGUGCAUCUUCCUUCCUCCUGAUGCACCUCCGUCCACAAAAGUUCUGGAGAAAGAGGGUUCACGAGCUCCAAACACUGCUGAAAAUCAAAAGGCAAUUGUCCAAAACGUUCCAAGGAGAGAGUCUGCACACAUCAAUGAUGCAUCAUGCACAACCAACCAUGGAAAUGUUACGCGACCGGUCAUAUGGGUGCCUUUCAUGUUUGGAGGUGAAGCUCCGGGUCAUGACGUCCAACGUGCUUACUCCCGCUGUGCCACGCUUCCUCGAGUGCAGCAAGGACCAUGCCAAGGCCGUACUUGCCCAGGUACAUGGAUGGCCUUUAAAAUCCAGUCGUUAAAUCAGUAAUUCCUUGGUCUGAUGUAUCAUUCUCCUUGACCAAUGUCUUCACA